rnacentral:rRNA from 1 species
AGUGAACGCUGGCGGUAGGCCUAACACAUGCAAGUCGAACGGCAGCACAGUAAGAGCUUGCUCUUACGGGUGGCGAGUGGCGGACGGGUGAGGAAUACAUCGGAAUCUACUUUUUCGUGGGGGAUAACGUAGGGAAACUUACGCUAAUACCGCAUACGACCUACGGGUGAAAGCAGGGGAACUUCGGACCUUGCGCGAUUGAAUGAGCCGAUGUCGGAUUAGCUAGUUGGCGGGGUAAAGGCCCACCAAGGCGGCGAUCCGUAGCUGGUCUGAGAGGAUGAUCAGCCACACUGGAACUGAGACACGGUCCAGACUCCUACGGGAGGCAGCAGUGGGGAAUAUUGGACAAUGGGCGCAAGCCUGAUCCAGCCAUACCGCGUGGGUGAAGAAGGCCUUCGGGUUGUAAAGCCCUUUUGUUGGGAAAGAAAAGCAGCAGGUUAAUACCCCGCUGUUCUGACGGUACCCAAAGAAUAAGCACCGGCUAACUUCGUG